UACGGAGGGGGCAAGCGUUGUCCGGACUUACUGGGCGUAAAGGGUGCGUAGGCGGUUAGUUAAGUCUGUUGUGAGAUCCCCGGGCUCAAUCUGGGAAUGGCAAUGGAUACUGGCUGGCUAGAGUGUGUCAGAGGAUGGUGGAAUUCCCGGUGUAGCGGUGGAAUGCGCAGAUAUCAGGAGGAACACCAAUGGCGAAGGCAGAUCUCUGGGCCGUAACUGACGCUGAGGAGCGAAAGCAUGGGGAGCGAACAGG
rnacentral:rRNA from 1 species